rnacentral:rRNA from 1 species
UACGGGGGGUGCGAGCGUUGUCCGGAAUCACUGGGCGUAAAGGGCGCGUAGGUGGCGUCGUAAGUCUGUGGUGAAAGCCCGGAGCUCAACUCCGGGUCUGCCGCGGAUACUGCGAGGCUUGAGUGCUGUAGAGGGGGGUAGAAUGCCGGGUGUAGCGGUGGAAUGCGUAGAGAUCCGGCAGAAGCCCGGUGGCGAAGGCGGCCCCCUGGGCAGUAACUGACACUGAGGCGCGACAGCGUGGGGAGCAAACAGG